UACGUAGGGUGCGAGCGUUAAUCGGAAUUACUGGGCGUAAAGCGUGCGCAGGCGGUUUUGUAAGACAGGCGUGAAAUCCCCGAGCUCAACUUGGGAAUUGCGCUUGUGACUGCAAGGCUAGAGUGUGUCAGAGGGGGGUGGAAUUCCACGUGUAGCAGUGAAAUGCGUAGAGAUGUGGAGGAACACCGAUGGCGAAGGCAGCCCCCCUGGGCCAAUACUGACGCUCAUGCACGAAAGCGUGGGGAGCAAACAGG
rnacentral:rRNA from 1 species